UAUAGCAAGGAACUGAUGUCUCUGAUUGACAGCAGUGUGGAACUGGGUCCUGCUGACAGCCAUGUAAGUGUGCUGAGCAGCUGAUCCUGCCCCAGGCAGGCCUUAAGAUGACUGCAGCUCUGUGGACACCUUGAAUGUAGGUAACUUUGGGAGAGACCUUGAGCCAGAGGAACCCAAAGAAGCUGCACCUAGAUUCCUGACACACAGAAAUGAAUCAUAAACUUUUCCCACUACUCUGAAGAGUUGGACAUAAUGACCAGUAAAAACAGGAUUUUUGUCCGACAUGGCAACCAUUCCAAUAACAAAUACCGAUGAUCCUUUCGUUUCUGUUCACCUAUAAAAAGGUAGUUGCUAACUAACCAGUUCAGUAAAAUGUCAUGUCUUGCUAGA